rnacentral:lncRNA from 1 species
GGGCAGCAGUAAUGACAACGUUCCUAUAGAUUCUCAUGUGUCAUUUUGUAGAAGUGCAACAUAGACAAAUAUUUCAUUUUGACUCAAAUCAAGUUGGUGCAAUCCGUACAAGCCUGACUGCGCUGCUAAUGCUCUUAAUGAUAUUUCAGUUGACAGCUUACUUCAAAUAAAUGGUCGGAAGUAUAGUUUCCUGCACAGGAUUGUAGCAUUGCCAGAAGCAGCAGAUUUUAUAGGACAUAAGAAGAGACAUUUCUGUAUAGAUGCAGGAAUGGAUGUGCAGUUUGAAAUAGAUCAGCAGUUGUCGAGAGUAUUUUGUACAGCUACAAUUUGGCAUAAUGUAGUGCAGCUGGGGUUGUUAUGGCUUAGCUUUUCAUUUGUAUAUUCCUAGCUAGAGCUAGCUAGCUUAAAAAAUGAGACUGAUGUAAGUAAGUGCAUGCUGUUACCUGAAUUCAUUUUUGUAGACACACCCCUCCGUCCGUCCAGCCAGCUAUGCAUGUUGUUAUUAAUGUAUUGGAGCAUAGACUGUGUACAUUUGUGGCCCGCCAGCCUUCCCAGUAAUUUUUUCAAGAGAGCAGCAGUCGAAUAAGGGGCUAAAUCAUUAAGCCUGAGGACUAGGAUUUGUUUUGGUAGAAAGGUUGAGCGUAACGUAGGUUUUGAGUCCUUUGACCUAACCCAUUAGUGGAGUACUUUUUUAUGUCCUGGAAAAAAGAAAAGAACCUUUUACAUUACAUGCCAUCUUCUUCCGCCCAGACUUUAAUUGAGUAAUAAACUGCCGGAAAUGCGGCAGAAUCUGUGAUAUGUGGGGAUAAAGAACAACAAAA